rnacentral:tRNA from 1 species
GAGGGGAGGUCCAACCAACAAGAACUGCUAACUCUUCUAUCUGAGCUUAAAACCUCAGUCCCCUUG